AUGAACGCUGGCGGCGUGCUUAACACAUGCAAGUCGCACGGUGAAGGCGGAGCUUGCUCUGCUGGAUCAGUGGCGAACGGGUGAGUAACACGUGAGCAAUCUGCCCCUGACUCUGGGAUAAGCGCUGGAAACGGCGUCUAAUACUGGAUACGAGCUGCGAAGGCAUCUUCAGCAGCUGGAAAGAAUUUCGGUCAGGGAUGAGCUCGCGGCCUAUCAGCUUGUUGGUGAGGUAAUGGCUCACCAAGGCGUCGACGGGUAGCCGGCCUGAGAGGGUGACCGGCCACACUGGGACUGAGACACGGCCCAGACUCCUACGGGAGGCAGCAGUGGGGAAUAUUGCACAAUGGGCGAAAGCCUGAUGCAGCAACGCCGCGUGAGGGACGACGGCCUUCGGGUUGUAAACCUCUUUUAGCAGGGAAGAAGCGAAAGUGACGGUACCUGCAGAAAAAGCGCCGGCUAACUACGUG
rnacentral:rRNA from 1 species